rnacentral:rRNA from 1 species
AACGAACGCUGGCGGCAUGCCUAACACAUGCAAGUCGAACGAGAUCUUCGGGUCUAGUGGCGCACGGGUGCGUAACGCGUGGGAAUCUGCCCUUUGGUUCGGAAUAACAGUUGGAAACGACUGCUAAUACCGGAUGAUGACAAAAGUCCAAAGAUUAUCGCCAGAGGAUGAGCCCGCGUAGGAUUAGCUAGUUGGUGUGGUAAAGGCGCACCAAGGCGACGAUCCUUAGCUGGUCUGAGAGGAUGAUCAGCCACACUGGGACUGAGACACGGCCCAGACUCCUACGGGAGGCAGCAGUGGGGAAUAUUGGACAAUGGGCGAAAACCUGAUCCAGCAAUGCCGCGUGAGUGAUGAAGGCCUUAGGGUUGUAAAGCUCUUUUACCCGGGAUGAUAAUGACAGUACCGGGAGAAUAAGCUCCGGCUAACUCCGUGCCAGCCGCCGCCGUAAGAC